UUUCCGUAGGUGAACCUGCGGAAGGAUCAUUAUUGAAUCAACUCUUGGGGACUAGUCUUUGGCAUCUCGUAUGACAUUGAUGAAACCCUACAACCACAACCGUGAACCUGUCGUCCCUGGACGUCACACACAUCUCCUGGGGUAUUGAACGUGAUGCACAUAAACAGUACAACUGUCAGCAACGGAUCUCUUGGCUCUCGCAUCGAUGAAGAACGCAGC
rnacentral:misc_RNA from 1 species